GGAGAAAUGGCUGAGUGGACUAAGCCUCAAAUUGCUAAUCCGUUGUACGAGUUAUCCGUACCGAGGAUUUGAAUCCCUCUUUUUCCG
rnacentral:tRNA from 1 species